rnacentral:tRNA from 1 species
GCCUUCGUAGUGUAGUGGUCAUCACGCUCAACCCGUAUCGAGAGGUCCGGGGUUUGAAUCCCGGCGAGAGCA